rnacentral:rRNA from 1 species
GACGGGGGCCCGCACAAGCGGUGGAGCAUGUGGUUUAAUUAGAAGCAACGCGAAGAACCUUACCAGGUCUUGACAUCCUCUGACAAUCCUAGAGAUAGGACGUCCCCUUCGGGGGCAGAGUGACAGGUGGUGCAUGGUUGUCGUCAGCUCGUGUCCUGAGAUGUUGGGUUAAGUCCCGCAACGAGCGCAACCCUUGAUGUUAGUUGCCAGCAUUCAGUUGGGCACUAUAAGGUGACUGCCGGUGACAAACCGGAGGAAGGUGGGGAUGACGUCAAAUCAUCAUGCCCCUUAUGACCUGGGCUACACACGUGUUACAAUGGACAGAACAAAGGGCAGCGAAACCGCGAGGUUAAGCCAAUCCCACAAAUCUGUUUUCAGUUCGGAUCGCAGUCUGCAACUCGACUGCGUGAAGCUGGAAUCGAUAGUAAUCGCGGAUCAGCAUGCCGCGGUGAAUACGUUUCCGGGCCUUGUACACACCGCCCGUCACACCACGAGAGUUUGUAACACCCGAAGUCGGUGAGGUAACCUUUUGAGCAUUC